rnacentral:rRNA from 1 species
CACACCGCCCGUCACAUCACGAAAGCCCGUUGUACUAGAAGCCGGCAAUUCAACCGCAAGGAGAUAGCCGUCCAAGGUAUGACUGGUGAUUGGGGUG